GGAGGGUAUAGCUCAGUGGUAGAGUGCAUGCUUUCGCAUGCAUGAGGUCAUGGGUUUGAUCCCCAGUACCUCCG
rnacentral:tRNA from 1 species